GAAAUGCGAUAAUUAAUGUGAAUUGCAGAAUUCAGUGAAUCAUCGAGUCUUUGAACGCACAUUGCGCCCCCUGGUAUUCCGGGGGGCAUGCCUGUCCGAGCGUCAUUGCUGCCCUCAAGCACGGCUUGUGUGUUGGGCUUCCGUCCCUGGCAACGGGGACGGGCCCAAAAGGCAGUGGCGGCACCAUGUCUGGUCCUCGAGCGUAUGGGGCUUUGUCACCCGCUCCCGUAGGUCCAGCUGGCAGCUAGCCUCGCAACCAAUCUUUUUUACCAGGUUGACCUCGGAUCAGGUAGGGAUACCCGCUGAACUUAAGA
rnacentral:misc_RNA from 1 species